GCUGUCACCACGGUGCUGAUGUGAAGCUCUGCUGAUUCUCCCAGGAUUCUCAUCUUCAACCUUUCUGGACUACAGCACCUGCCAACUGACCCCCACAUCAUGGCUCCAACGCUGGCUUCAUCACAUAUCUUCUCUCUCAGUCCCUUUGGCUCUCAGGGUGCAAUAGCUUAACAAAAUUGCUGAUCUAGGUGCCUCAGCAUUGUUUCUUUGUCAUAGUCUCUGUAUUAUCUUAUUUUGAGCCAUUCUUUUCCUGCAAAGAUCCUAACUGAAUGAGAUAACUACUUCAUAAGCUAUUUGUAAGGUUUAAAUAAA
rnacentral:lncRNA from 10 species